UUUAUGCAGGUGUACCAAGACAAUCUCCAAGUACGUAUGGUAACUCAAUUGAAAAAUAAUGAUUGAGUACAUAAGUACUUGGAGAUUGGCUUGGUAAACAUGCAUAAA